AAGCACAGAGGUUUGGUCCUGGCCUUACUGUUAAUUUUUAUUAGACCUACACAUGCAAGUUUCUGCAACCCAGUGAGUAUGCCCUUUUAACUUCAUUAGAGUAUAAAGGAGCUGGUAUCAGGCAUACUUAAACAAGCAGCCCAUGACACCUUGUUCAACCACACCCCCACGGGUUACAGCAGUGACUAACAUUGAGCUAUAAACGAAAGUUUGACUAAAUCAUAAUAAACAAGGGUUGGUAAAUCUCGUGCCAGCCACCGCGGUCAUACGAUUAACCCGAAUUAACAGAAAAACGGCGUAAAGGGUGUUUAAGCAUAUAACCAAACAAAUAAAGUUAAAACUCAACUAUGCUGUAAUACGCCCUAGUUGAUAUUAAAAUACGCAACUUACGUGACUUUACCAAUGCUGAAGACACUAAAGCUAAGGUACAAACUGGGAUUAGAGACCCCACUAUGCUUAGCCGUAAACCUAGGUAAUUAAACAACAAAAUUACUCGCCAGAGAACUACUAGCAACUGCUUAAAACUCAAAGGACUUGGCGGUGCCCUAGACCCUCCUAGAGGAGCCUGUUCUAUAAUCGAUAAACCCCGAUACACCUCACCCCUUCUUGCUCAACAGUCUAUAUACCGCCAUCGUCAGCUCACCCCAAUAGGGCUCCAAAGUGAGCAAAAUCAUCAAACCAUAAAAACGUUAGGUCAAGGUGUAGCAU
rnacentral:ncRNA from 1 species